rnacentral:lncRNA from 1 species
GUAACUAAUUUUUGUAUCUCCCUGCCAGUGUAACCGUUUGAAUGUUAAUUUAAUUUUACAGAAUAUCAUUUAUGUAAAUGUAAUUAGAAGGGAAACAUGAUCUGGAGAUGCACAGCACCAAAGAAAAUUUAUUACUCCAAGGGGUAUUGCUCUAAUCAUUCAACUGCAAUAUUGAGUUUCCCCAGAUUUAAUCUAAAAGCAAUAAAUUACAAAAGGCUAAUGCCCUGCCCAACAACAAGCUGUCAUGAACCCAAGU